CACAAUGGAAAAAUGUUUACUAAGAUGGGUAUGGUUAGGGCCUCUGAGUUUCCCAUAAAUAGAGUAAAUGGGAUAGAAAAUGCUUCUUAUGUCCCCAUAUCAAACUCUAUAUGGGAUAUGGAUGAACAUCCUCUGAGGUCUUUAAAAAAUUGCAGCUUGUUAAGGACUCCUUCAAAGAAGUGGAUGUUCAUACUUUAUGAUGUAGACUAAACUUAUUAAGGAGGUGAAAAGAAUUAGUAAUCACAAAGCAGGUUGCUUUCUUUCAGUUGGUAUUGUACAUUCCCUUCUUUAAAUGAGUGAGGUCAACAUUUAGUUAUCUAUACAAAUAUAUAAAAAUUACUUCAGAUCUUUGCCUCUUAAUAUAACAUUGACUGUCUCACUGUCUGUGGUUCAGGAGUCUGAGAGCAGCUUAGCUGGAUAGUCCUGGCUCAGAGUCUUUCAUGGGGUCAUGGUCAAGGAGAUGGCCAGGUCUGCAGUCAUGUGGAGCUGGAGGACCUGCUUCCAAGUUCACUCAAGUGGUACAGGAGGCCUCAGUUCUUCACUGGCUGUUCACUAAAUACCUAAAGUCCUUACCAUGCAGGCCUCUCCUUAGGGCUCUUUACAAGGUUGAAGCUGGUUCCCAUCAGAGCAGGUGAUCCAAGAGGAAGCCCAAGGCAAGAGCCAACAUCCUUUCAUAAAUUAAUCUCUUAAGUGAUUUAUUAGUAUGCUGUAUUCUCUUUAUUAGAAGCAAAUCUUAAGUCCAGCACACAUUCAUAUUGGGCAUACUAAAGUUCCAUUUCUUGAAGGGAGAACUACCAAAUACUGGGUUGUAAUUUGCUUAAAAUUUACAAAAUUUCUUAAAACAGCCAGAUGAUCACCCACUACAGGGCAUCCCUGGGCCAGAUCUGUUACACAUCUUGAAGUGCUCACCACGCCCUCCUUCAGGAACUGGCACCUCCUACCUCCUCUGGCUGUAACCUCCAUAUAAAACUUCAUGCACUAUCACAUUCUGAAACAAUAGAAAACUUGCAGAAGGAAAAUGAAACUCCAGGCUUCUUCUUGUAGCCAUUUUCUAAUAGCUUUGAGAGCAACUGCUACAGCCAAACUUUUUAGAUGCCAUACUGGCUUUGCCACUCAACUGCAGUGCAACUUGGAAAAAUGACUUAAACUUCACAUGCCUUAAAUUUCUCAUCUGCAAAAUGCAGAUCAUAACAACACCCAGUAGGUCUGCUGAGAUGAUUUUUAAAAGUUUUUAGGUAUUAUCAACUGCUUAGAAUAUUGCCUAGCUGAUAGUAAAUCUUUUAAAAUUAGUAUCAUCUUAAGUAUCAUUAUUUUAAUUGAUGUUAAAACCACCCACUAGUCCCAAUCAUAGUCUGUAAAAUGGGAAUUCAUUCCACAAACACAAGAACUUACUAAUAAUCCAGAGUCUGUUUUAGGCAUUGUAGAUUCAGUAGUGAACACAACAGACCAAAAUCUUGCCUUUUGGGAGCUUUUUUUUUGUUUUUUUUUUUUUUCUAAAUCGCUCAGUCUCCUCCACAGCUUUACUAAGAAGAUGAAAUGGAGAAGUGUGGAAAAUAGAGAAGGCGCUGCUUGAAGGAAUGUGUCUUAAUUACGACUAUUAAUUUUUAGCUCAUUUCCCAGAAAAAAUUAGAACAAGGCUUGGCUUUACUAGUGACCUGCUGUGUCAAUUUGAGCAGCAUUUCUUCUUUUUCAGGCUGUUUCCCAUUUGCAAAAUAAGGGUGACACGACUUGUACUACAUCCAUGUUUUUUAAAUUUUUAAAAGUGUUUUUCCAGAUGUGAACUGAAGUUUGGCACUUGCCAUCAGUCUCUUAUAUGGAGUAAAACAUGAGCCACUGCAGCUACAGACCCGCAGCAACCCCUGAGUGCAGCCCAGGGUGGAGAUCAGGAAUGAGGCACUCUGCUCUAGGAAAACUGGAAGAACAGGCCUUCAGAUAGUCAAGAUAUUUUCAGGAGAAGAUUUUAUGUGCCCAAUUCUUGCAUCUAUUCAUACCUAGAAAAACACUAGAAUCCUUCAUGGUGAUGUCUGCUCCUUGUGACUGGUAGUCACCUUCAGGAGAUCAACAAAAAACUUUUGUAAAAUGUGUAUAUGCUGCAUGCACCUCCCCCUCACUUUUAUCAUAUCCUGAUAUUCCUCCUUUUCCUCCUCGGGUGGUAUUUCAGCCCAGUCUUGUAGUUAAGGAUAAAGAAUAUCACAGUCAUCUAUAAAUGCAGUUACCUCCAAGGGUGAGAGUCUGUGAGUCCUGCAGCCUAUGAAAACUCAGGAUACCUGCCCAGAUAUCUGGUGUGCAUUAUCAAAGGAAUGAUUUCAGUGAGCCCAGCCUCUUUUGUUCCUGCUCCCUGCCCUUUGUUGCAAAAACUCCUGUAUAUCCUAGCUCCUCUCCCUCACCACCUUGGAGUGAUUCCCAAGGUUUAAGUCCUAAUUUCACUCCAAAUAAAACUUAACUCUCAACUUUCGGGUUGUGGAUUUUUUUUAGUCAACACAGAGAAGACUGGAAUUCCUCAGAGAUGCUUCUGGGAUAAUGCAGACAUUUUAUUGGAGUUUUACCUAAUUUACCAAUAUUUUAUUUUUAAAACUUUAAUAAAAACCUCAUGUAUUCAAAUGGAUUUUACCAAAUGUUAGUAUAUUGAGUCUAUAUGGAUUAAGAUUGCCUCUAGUGAUUACUAAUAAAAAUAUCAUGCAAUUGAACUUACAAAAAAGAGGUAUAGUUAGUUUUAAUCUGUUUUAUAUAUUGCAAUUCUGUAUAAAAGCUGAAUUGAAAAUAAGGUAUUAUGACUUGAAAUUCAUUUUUCUACAUAAUUAUCACUAAAAUUUUGAGCCAUUAUUAUUUGCCAGAAUCUCCCUUAAGUGUUCCAUGUAUAAUCUCACUUAAAUUUAAAAAAAUUCUAUGAUGUUGUGCCUAUUUUCCUUUCAGAAAGUGAAGAAACUGAGGCUAGAAAGAUUAAGUAACUUGCAUAAGGUCAUAUGAUUUGUAAAGGCACAGCCAGAAUUUUAACUGAGGUCUCAACACUUGUGUAUUUUUACCACCACACUGUAAUUCUUUUUAGGAUCUCAUUAAGAUAACCACCGUGUUUUAUCUUUCUUUCUAUUGCAUUACAUGGAAAAUUAGCUCUUAGUAUUAAAGGAUGAGUUUGACUGUAAAAGUUUCAAUGUAAUGAAUUCCCAAGAGAUACGUCACAUAUAUUACUGUAAUUCCAGAUAAUAAUCUAUUCAUCUGUUUCUGUUUCAGUCCACUAAUUAGCUGCAAAACUAUACUGUCUCUAUGCUUGUAAUUGCUCUCCAUCUGCAUGUUCACCAUGUCCUAUAUCCACUUGAGAAGAUGUAACUCUGCACCCCUUGCAUCCAGUCUCAUUGCUUAUCUGAGCAUCCUUUGAAUUGUGACCAAAAUGGCAUUUCUACACCAUUGACUGACUUGACUAUUAUUUCACCCUCCUGGGUAAUGUCUGCAACAGCUGCUUCUAUUUCUCUAUCCCUUGACCUUGCAGUCAGGGUUUUUCUACCAUCUAGUCCCAGUCCGGUUUUCUAGAAAGUUUUACCAUUAUACUCUGUAACUUAAACUCUGGUCUUUCUUUAAAACUUAUACACAUGGUUCUAAAUUACCAUUUUAUAUUACAUAGUGCCCACAACAGUGUCUGACGUGGCAUAAGCACCAAUAAAUGCUUGUGGAAUAAAACUGUCUAUGAUUAUGUCCAAUAAUUGUUAAAAAAUUAUGUACCAGUUACUUUAACUUUUAAUACAUAAACCAGAGUACAGAA
ensembl:lncRNA